rnacentral:rRNA from 1 species
UACGAAGGGGGCUAGCGUUGCUCGGAAUCACUGGGCGUAAAGCGCACGUAGGCGGAUUGUUAAGUCAGGGGUGAAAUCCUGGAGCUCAACUCCAGAACUGCCUUUGAUACUGGCGAUCUCGAGUCCGGGAGAGGUGAGUGGAACUGCGAGUGUAGAGGUGAAAUGCGUAGAUAUUCGCAAGAACACCAGUGGCGAAGGCGGCUCACUGGCCCGGUACUGACGCUGAGGUGCGAAAGCGUGGGGAGCAAACAGG